rnacentral:rRNA from 1 species
AAGCAUAUCAAUAAGCGGAGGAAAAGAAACCAACUGGGAUUACCUUAGUAACGGCGAGUGAAGCGGUAAAAGCUCAAAUUUGAAAUCUGGUACUUUCAGUGCCCGAGUUGUAAUUUGUAGAAUUUGUCUUUGAUUAGGUCCUUGUCUAUGUUCCUUGGAACAGGACGUCAUAGAGGGUGAGAAUCCCGUUUGGCGAGGAUACCUUUUCUCUGUAAGACUUUUUCGAAGAGUCGAGUUGUUUGGGAAUGCAGCUCAAAGUGGGUGGUAAAUUCCAUCUAAAGCUAAAUAUUGGCGAGAGACCGAUAGCGAACAAGUACAGUGAUGGAAAGAUGAAAAGAACUUUGAAAAGAGAGUGAAAAAGUACGUGAAAUUGUUGAAAGGGAAGGGCAUUUGAUCAGACAUGGUGUUUUUUGCAUGCACUCGCCUCUCGUGGGCUUGGGCCUCUCAAAAAUUUCACUGGGCCAACAUCAAUUCUGGCAGUAGGAUAAAUCAUUAAGAAUGUAGCUACCUCGGUAGUGUUAUAGCUUAUUGGAAUACUGCUAGCUGGGAUUGAGGACUGCGCUUCGGCAAGGAUGUUGGCAUAAUGGUUAAAUGCCGCCCGUCUUGAAACACGGACCAAGGA